CCUACGGGAGGCAUCAGUGGGGAAUAUUGGACAAUGGGCGAAAGCCUGAUCCAGCAAUGCCGCGUGAGUGAUGAAGGCCUUCGGGUCGUAAAGCUCUUUUACCAGGGAUGAUAAUGACAGUACCUGGAGAAUAAGCUCCGGCUAACUCCGUGCCAGCAGCCGCGGUAAUACGGAGGGAGCUAGCGUUGUUCGGAAUUACUGGGCGUAAAGAGUACGUAGGCGGUUAUUCAAGUCAGAGGUGAAAGCCCGGGGCUCAACCCCGGAACUGCCUUUGAAACUAGAUAACUAGAGUCUUGGAGAGGUUAGUGGAAUUCCGAGUGUAGAGGUGAAAUUCGUAGAUAUUCGGAAGAACACCAGUGGCGAAGGCGACUAACUGGACAAGUACUGACGCUGAGGUACGAAAGCGUGGGGAGCAAACAGGAUUAGAUACCCUGGUAGUCCACGCCGUAAACGAUGAUAACUAGUUGUUCGGUCACUUGGUGACUGAGUGACGCAGCUAACGCAUUAAGUUAUCCGCCUGGGGAGUACGGUCGCAAGAUUAAAACUCAAAGGAAUUGACGGCGNGAAGAGUGCGAGACGACGACGAGGGAGGAGG
rnacentral:rRNA from 1 species